CCUUCUCCCCUCUUUCCCAGAGAGUGGGUGAGAAUAUGAUAUGCAUUUCUUUCAAAACAAGGGAACCUCCUUUCGCCCCCUCCGCAGGAGUCGCCUCCGCGCUUUAUUUCAAGUCGACGG
rfam:Myotis brandtii contig214984, whole genome shotgun sequence.